UACGUAGGGUGCGAGCGUUGUCCGGAAUUAUUGGGCGUAAAGGGCUCGUAGGCGGUCUGUCACGUCGAAAGUGAAAACUCAGGGCUCAACCCUGAGCCUGCUUCCGAUACGGGCAGACUAGAGGUAUGCAGGGGAGAAUGGAAUUCCUGGUGUAGCGGUGAAAUGCGCAGAUAUCAGGAGGAACACCAGUGGCGAAGGCGGUUCUCUGGGCAUUACCUGACGCUGAGGAGCGAAAGUGUGGGGAGCGAACAGG
rnacentral:rRNA from 1 species